AUAAAAUUAAUUUUUCAAAAUCGGAGGCCAUGCCAAUGGGCGGCUUUCCUAGUAUCUCCCAUCUAUCGGACAGAUCCCACUUUCCCUUUCGGUGGUCUCUGGAGGGUUUCUUAUAUUUAGGCAGUUUUACCACCCCAGUAUUUGGCCAGCUAUACAAGGCUAACUUUGUGCAUUUAUUGGAGAGGAUGGGGAGACCUU